rnacentral:snoRNA from 2 species
UUGGCAUGAUGAGGAAAGAAAUACUGUGUCUGAUCUAAGUGAUGAGAAAUACCUCCUACUCAUUCUGA